CACAUGAGAUGCUCUCUUCAGUCCGGGGCUUGGUUGAACGGACUCACCAGGAAACGUGACUUUCGUGUCCGACCUCUGCUGUAUCAGGAUUCGAUUCUUGGUGUUAAACAAGACAACGCUGAAGGCUCGGUGCAGCAGCCCUGCAAAGGGUUUUUCCAGCGCUCUUGGGAGGUGGGCUGUGCCACUGCCUGGCCCACCUGGCCCACCUGGCCCACCAUUACCUGAAGGGAAGCAUGAACAGCCUUUGACGUGGGAGUGGCGACUGCUGAGAGGGAACUGUCUGUACACAAGCAAUGUAGCCUUAUGGGACCUGGAGUGGAGCCCCAACCCACGCAGGGCGUGUCUUCAUGGCUUUUCCUGGCCAAUCUGAUACCAAGAUGCAGUGGCCAGAAGUACCUGCACUUCCACUCCUGUCAAGGUCUCUGCAUGGCUAUGGUGAGGAAGAGCUCUGCACUGGGCAAGGAAGUUGGCCGUCGAGUGAAGGAAAUGGUGAUGCUGGUGGCCCCUUUCCGGCAGUCAAGUUCCCUAUCAAGGACAUUCAGUUCUCGGAAAGUGGUGAAGGCACAUGCUUCCCUGCAUGGUGCCCGCCUCUCUCCACUCUCUAGAAAUAUUAGAGGCUAGGCUGCUGCUGUAUGUCAGGGCUAGUCCCUCUUCUAUGAAUCCAGAAUAACUCUGAAGAAGCCGAGUAACAGGCAUGAAGUGAAGAGAAAUCGCUGUAACAGGAAGACAGCAAAGCAGAUGCUAAUGACCACACUAUUUAACGAACUGGAACCAACGAGAAAAUACGGUAUUACUGAAGACUGCACUUCCUUGAACAGAGUGCUCUUCUCAGCAAAUCGGAAAUGCCUACACAAAUCGCUUUACAAGAAAGACUGUUUCAAAGCAGCACCUUUCUCAAUGUUCUCGUUCAGGUGACAAUUCUUCUUGGUCUCAGCUCCAAUUUUAUUGUCAUUUUCAUCAAUAAGGAUACACAUCUCUGCCAGGAGUUGAACCUGUUGCUUGUCGAGGUGGUUAGUGUUUAUUUCAGGCAUCAUUACAAAAUGUCUGAUCUGUUCUAGAACACUAAUAUUAAAGGAAAAGAGAAAGAAAGGC
rnacentral:lncRNA from 1 species